rnacentral:rRNA from 1 species
UACGGGGGGAGCAAGCGUUGUUCGGAUUUACUGGGCGUAAAGGGCGCGUAGGCGGCCACCGCAAGUCACUUGUGAAAUCUCCGGGCUUAACCCGGAGCGGCCAAGUGAUACUGUUGUGCUAGAGUGCGGAAGGGGCUACUGGAAUUCUCGGUGUAGCGGUGAAAUGCGUAGAUAUCGAGAGGACCACCUGCGGCGAAGGCGGGUAGCUGGGCCGACACUGACGCUGAGGCGCGAAAGCCAGGGGAGCGAACGGG